rnacentral:rRNA from 1 species
UACGAAGGGGGCUAGCGUUGUUCGGAAUUACUGGGCGUAAAGCGCACGUAGGCGGAUACUUAAGUUAGGGGUGAAAUCCCGGGGCUCAACCCCGGAACUGCCUUUGAUACUGGGUAUCUGGAGUCCGAGAGAGGUGAGUGGAAUUCCCGGUGUAGCGGUGAAAUGCGCAGAUAUCGGGAGGAACACCAAUGGCGAAGGCAGCUCGCUGGGACGUUACUGACGCUGAGACGCGAAAGCGUGGGGAGCAAACAGG